rnacentral:rRNA from 1 species
UCGAGCGAGCUUGCCUAGAUGAUUUUAGUGCUUGCACUAAAUGAAACUAGAUACAAGCGAGCGGCGGACGGGUGAGUAACACGUGGGUAACCUGCCCAAGAGACUGGGAUAACACCUGGAAACAGAUGCUAAUACCGGAUAACAACACUAGACGCAUGUCUAGAGUUUGAAAGAUGGUUCUGCUAUCACUCUUGGAUGGACCUGCGGUGCAUUAGCUAGUUGGUAAGGUAACGGCUUACCAAGGCAAUGAUGCAUAGCCGAGUUGAGAGACUGAUCGGCCACCUUGGGACUGAGACACGGCCCAAACUCCUACGGGAGGCAGCAGUAGGGAAUCUUCCACAAUGGACGAAAGUCUGAUGGAGCAACGCCGCGUGAGUGAAGAAGGGUUUCGGCUCGUAAAGCUCUGUUGGUAGUGAAGAAAGAUAGAGGUAGUAACUGGCCUUUAUUUGACGGUAAUUACUUAGAAAGUCACGGCUAACUACGUGCCAGCAGCCGCGGUAAUACGUAGGUGGCAAGCGUUGUCCGGAUUUAUUGGGCGUAAAGCGAGUGCAGGCGGUUCAAUAAGUCUGAUGUGAAAGCCUUCGGCUCAACCGGAGAAUUGCAUCAGAAACUGUUGAACUUGAGUGCAGAAGAGGAGAGUGGAACUCCAUGUGUAGCGGUGGAAUGCGUAGAUAUAUGGAAGAACACCAGUGGCGAAGGCGGCUCUCUGGUCUGCAACUGACGCUGAGGCUCGAAAGCAUGGGUAGCGAA